ACAAAAGUGAGGAGGCAGUUUAUAAGAUUGUCUCUUCAUGGGAAAGAACUUUGAGGUAUAUCAAAAUCAAAGGCCGAGAUAUCGUUUUAGUCGUCAUUUUCCUCCAUUGGCAGUCUGAUUGUUGCUCGUCCACAC
rnacentral:snoRNA from 1 species